rnacentral:rRNA from 1 species
UAGGGAAUCUUCGGCAAUGGGGGGCAACCCUGACCGAGCAACGCCGCGUGAGUGAAGAAGGUUUCCGGAUCGUAAAGCUCUGUUGUAAGAGAAGAACGUGUGUGAGAGUGGAAAGUUCACACAGUGACGGUAACUUACCAGAAAGGGACGGCUAACUACGUGCCG